rnacentral:rRNA from 1 species
UACGAAGGGGGCUAGCGUUGCUCGGAAUCACUGGGCGUAAAGCGCACGUAGGCGGACUCUUAAGUCGGGGGUGAAAUCCUGGAGCUCAACUCCAGAACUGCCUUCGAUACUGGGAGUCUUGAGUUCGGGAGAGGUGAGUGGAACUGCGAGUGUAGAGGUGAAAUUCGUAGAUAUUCGCAAGAACACCAGUGGCGAAGGCGGACUCACUGGCCCGAUACUGACGCUGAGGUGCGAAAGCGUGGGG